rnacentral:rRNA from 1 species
GACGAACGCUGGCGGCGUGCUUAACACAUGCAAGUCGAACGGAAAGGCCCUGCUUUUGUGGGGUGCUCGAGUGGCGAACGGGUGAGUAACACGUGAGUAACCUGCCCUUGACUUUGGGAUAACUUCAGGAAACUGGGGCUAAUACCGGAUAGGAGCUCCUGCUGCAUGGUGGGGGUUGGAAAGUUUCGGCGGUUGGGGAUGGACUCGCGGCUUAUCAGCUUGUUGGUGGGGUAGUGGCUUACCAAGGCUUUGACGGGUAGCCGGCCUGAGAGGGUGACCGGCCACAUUGGGACGGAGAUACGGCCCAGACGCCUACGGGAGGCAGAAGGGGGGAAUAUGGCACAAGGGGCGGAAGCCUGAUGCAGCAACGCCGCGUGCGGGAUGACGGCCUUCGGGUGGUAAACCGCUUUCGCCUGUGACGAAGCGUGAGUGACGGUAAUGGGGAAAGAAGCACCGGCUAACUACGU